GCGGACGGGUGAGUAAUGCCUAGGAAUCUGCCUGGUAGUGGGGGAUAACGUCCGGAAACGGGCGCUAAUACCGCAUACGUCCUGAGGGGGAAAGUGGGGGAUCUUCGGACCUCACGCUAUCAGAUGAGCCUAGGUCGGAUUAGCUAGUUGGUGGGGUAAAGGCCUACCAAGGCGACGAUCCGUAACUGGUCUGAGAGGAUGAUCAGUCACACUGGAACUGAGACACGGUCCAGACUCCUACGGGAGGCAGCAGUGGGGAAUAUUGGACAAUGGGCGAAAGCCUGAUCCAGCCAUGCCGCGUGUGUGAAGAAGGUCUUCGGAUUGUAAAGCACUUUAAGUUGGGAGGAAGGGCAGUAAGUUAAUACCUUGCUGUUUUGACGUUACCAACAGAAUAAGCACCGGCUAACUUCGUGCCAGCAGCCGCGGUAAUACGAAGGGUGCAAGCGUUAAUCGGAAUUACUGGGCGUAAAGCGCGCGUAGGUGGUUCAGCAAGUUGGAUGUGAAAUCCCCGGGCUCAACCUGGGAACUGCAUCCAAAACUACUGAGCUAGAGUACGGUAUAGGGUGGUGGAAUUUCCUGUGUAGCGGUGAAAUGCGUAUAUAU
rnacentral:rRNA from 1 species